rnacentral:misc_RNA from 1 species
GAUGAAGAACGUAGUGAAAUGCGAUACGUAAUGUGAAUUGCAGAAUUCAGUGAAUCAUCGAAUCUUUGAACGCACAUUGCGCCCGCCAGUAUUCUGGCGGGCAUGCCUGUCCGAGCGUCAUUUCAACCCUCGAACCCCUCCGGGGGUCCGGCGUUGGGGAUCGGGAACCCCUAAGACGGGAUCCCGGCCCCGAAAUACAGUGGCGGUCUCGCCGCAGCCUCUCAUGCGCAGUAGUUUGCACAACUCGCACCGGGAGCGCGGCGCGUCCACGUCCGUAAAACACCCAACUUCUGAAAUGUUGACCUCGGAUCAGGUAGGAAUACCCGCUGAACUUAAGCAUAUCAAUAAGCGGAGGA